rnacentral:rRNA from 1 species
UACAGAGGGGGCAAGCGUUAUUCGGAAUCAUUGGGCGUAAAGGGCGCGUAGGCGGCUUUGCAAGUGACGGGUGAAAUCCCUCGGCUUAACCGAGGAACUGCCUGUCAGACUGCAUGGCUUGAGACCAGGAGAGGUGAGUGGAAUUCCCAGUGUAGCGGUGAAAUGCGUAGAUAUUGGGAGGAACACCAGUGGCGAAGGCGGCUCACUGGACUGGUACUGACGCUGAGGCGCGAAAGCGUAGGGAGCAAACAGG